UCCUAAACAUCAAAAUAUUACACUAUAUUUAUAUACACAUUUGAAAGUAGCAUAUGUGUUAUUUAUUCAUUAGGGAAUAACGUAUGAGCAACAUCACCUGGUGACAACUGUCAAAAAAUAAAAAUAAAAAAAUCCAACAUGCAGUCUUCUCCUGUCACAGUAGUUUUGUCUGGCAGCAUCUGUCUCUUUCCAUUCACAUGGGCAUUUUCAGGAAGGAAUGGGAGAUGUGCUAAGCAACUGAGGCAUUUCAAGUAUUCUUACCCAAACUUCUCUGUCUAGCCAUGGUUUUCCCAAGAGACACUUGGGAAUGCUUAUUCAUUGACGCAAUUAAUAUCAUUCUCCAUCUCUUCCCAGAAGCAGACUAAUUUCCAGAUCAUUCCUUAAAAUGCUCUACCUUAAUAUGUAAUCAUUAAAACAGCUAUCACAAAUGCUUAUGAUGUUUUAAUUGGGCCAUUUCAUAUUUGAUGUUUCAUGACUAAGUUGUAGUUUAAAUUUAUCCCUGAAAGAAUUAAGACAAAAGCUGCACAGAGUGCAAACACAGAAAUAGGGCAGCAUUAAGUGAAGACUGGAAUCCUAGAGAGAACAUAAGCUAACUGCAAGAGAACUAAUUCAGAAAGCAUCUCACUUUUUAUGGAAGGACAUCAUGACUGGCAUAUGAAGAGAAAGCAGACAAAGGUGAAUGGUACCUAGAUCAAGACAUCCAGGACAAGAAAAAACACACCAAUUUGUUCCCAGAGAGUUGCUUGUUAUUCUUUGAAGGAGCAAUCAUGGAAUGUACUGCUGGAAAUGUCCAAGUGUACCUGAGGCAAAGCUCCCAGUGUUACAAGAGUGCAAAAAGUAGAAAAGCUACUGGAUGGCCUGGGGAACUUCAACAGCUGAGGCAGCUCACCUAAUGGUUAAUUUUUCAUUAGCCAUAAAAUACAAGUUUUAUCAUAUACCUGUUAAAUAAAGUGUAAAGACCAUAA